rnacentral:rRNA from 1 species
AAUACAUGCAAGUCGAGCGGACAGAAGGGAGCUUGCUCCCGGACGUUAGCGGCGGACGGGUGAGUAACACGUAGGUAACCUGCCCCUUAGACUGGGAUAACUCCGGGAAACCGGAGCUAAUACGGGAUAAUAAAGAGAAUCACCUGAUUCUCUUUUGAAAGACGGUUUCGGCUGUCACUAGGGGAUGGGCCUGCGGCGCAUUAGCUAGUUGGUAAGGUAACGGCUUACCAAGGCGACGAUGCGUAGCCGACCUGAGAGGGUGAUCGGCCACACUGGGACUGAGACACGGCCCAGACUCCUACGGGAGGCAGCAGUAGGGAAUCUUCCGCAAUGGACGAAAGUCUGACGGAGCAACGCCGCGUGAGUGAGGAAGGCCUUCGGGUCGUAAAGCUCUGUUGUGAGGGAAGAACAAGUACCGGGGUAACUACCGGUACCUUGACGGUACCUCACCUGAAAGCCACGGCUAACUACGUGCCAGCAGCCGCGGUAAUACGUAGGUGGCAAGCGUUGUCCGGAAUUAUUGGGCGUAAAGCGCGCGCAGGCGGCUUCUUAAGUCUGAUGUGAGAUCUCGGGGCUCAACCCCGAGCGGCCAUUGGAAACUGGGAAGCUUGAGUGCAGAAGAGGAGAGUGGAAUUCCACGUGUAGCGGUGAAAUGCGUAGAUAUGUGGAGGAACACCAGUGGCGAAGGCGACUCUCUGGUCUGUAACUGACGCUGAGGCGCGAAA